GCGCCGCUCAGACGGCUCGCACGCUGAACCUGGAAGGGUGCAGAGGAGAUCGCCAGGGCCCCUGUGCAAGGAUGACACACAAAUCUGUGUGGUGGUCCACAUUUUU